GAAUUGCAUUGGUGACUGCACGGCUAGAGUGUGUCAGAGGGGGGUAGAAUUCCACGUGUAGCAGUGAAAUGCGUAGAGAUGUGGAGGAAUACCGAUGGCGAAGGCAGCCCCCUGGGAUAACACUGACGCUCAUGCACGAAAGCGUGGGGAGCAAACAGGAUUAGAUACCCCGGUAGUCCACGCCCUAAACGAUGUCAACUAGUUGUUGGGGAUUCAUUUCCUUAGUAACGUAGCUAACGCGCGAAGUUGACCGCCUGGGGAGUACGGUCGCAAGAUUAAAACUCAAAGGAAUUGACGGGGACCCGCACAAGCGGUGGAUGAUGUGGAUUAAUUCGAUGCAACGCGAAAAACCUUACCUACCCUUGACAUGCCACUAACGAAGCAGAGAUGCAUUAGGUGCUCGAAAGAGAAAGUGGACACAGGUGCUGCAUGGCUGUCGUCAGCUCGUGUCGUGAGAUGUUGGGUUAAGUCCCGCAACGAGCGCAACCCUUGUCUCUAGUUGCUACGAAAGGGCACUCUAGAGAGACUGCCGGUGACAAACCGGAGGAAGGUGGGGAUGACGUCAAGUCCUCAUGGCCCUUAUGGGUAGGGCUUCACACGUCAUACAAUGGUGCAUACAGAGGGUUGCCAAGCCGCGAGGUGGAGCUAAUCCCAGAAAAUGCAUCGUAGUCCGGAUCGUAGUCUGCAACUCGACUACGUGAAGC
rnacentral:rRNA from 1 species